CCACAUCUCACGGUCGGAGUCAGUUUCACAGAGCAGCGCAGGAGGACGACAGACACAUAAAGAACAUUAACAGUUUAGCACAAAUGUUUCCCGUGGAAGUUUGAAUCUCUCUCAGUCAGGGGGGAGAUUGACUGACUGACUGUUUACUCGCCACCAAACAGUAAUUUACCCUGAAACCUUUUACAGUUUAGCACAAACGUUUCCCGCGCAAGUUUGAAUCUCUCUCAGUCAGGGGAGAUUGACUGACUGACUGACUGACUGUCUACACGCCACCAAACAGUAAUUUACACAGAAACCUUUUAAAGUUAGGACUAACAUUAACUGACUGUCUGUCUGUCUGUUUGUCUGUUCUCAACCAAAGUCAUUCAAGACCUGUUAAAGUAAGGACUAAGGUUAACUGACUGUCUGUCUGUCUGUCUGUCUGUCUGUCUGUUCUCAACCAAAGUCAUUAAAGACCUGUUAAAGUAAGGACUAACGUAAACUGACUGUCUGUCUGAUCUCAACCAAAGUCAUUCAAGACCUGUUAAAGUAAGGACUAAGGUUAACUGACUGUCUGUCUGUCUGUCUGUCUGUCUGUUCUCAACCAAAGUCAUUAAAGACCUGUUAAAGUAAGGACUAACGUAAACUGACUGUCUGUCUGAUCUCAACCAAAGUCAUUCAAGACCUGUUAAAG